AGUGAACGCUGGCGGCAGGCCUAACACAUGCAAGUCGAGCGGCAGCGGGUCCUUCGGGCUGCCGGCGAGCGGCGGACGGGUGAGGAAUGCAUUGGAAUCUGCCCUGUCGUGGGGGAUAACCUAGGGAAACUUAGGCUAAUACCGCAUACGACCCACGGGUGAAAGCGGGGGAUCGCAAGACCUCGCGCGAUAGGAUGAGCCGAUGUCGGAUUAGCUAGUUGGCGGGGUAAAGGCCCACCAAGGCGACGAUCGGUAGCUGGUCUGAGAGGAUGAUCGGCCACACUGGAACUGAGACACGGCCCAGACUCCUACGGGAGGCAGCAGUGGGGAAUAUUGGACAAUGGGCGCAAGCCUGAUCCAGCCAUGCCGCGUGGGUGAAGAAGGCCUUCGGGUUGUAAAGCCCUUUUAUCCGGGAAGAAAUCGUCUGGGCUAAUACCCCGGGCGGAUGACGGUACCGGAAGAAUAAGCACCGGCUAACUUCGUG
rnacentral:rRNA from 1 species